UAGGGAAUCUUCCACAAUGGACGCAAGUCUGAUGGAGCAACGCCGCGUGAGUGAAGAAGGUUUUCGGAUCGUAAAGCUCUGUUGUUGGUGAAGAAGGAUAGAGGCAGUAACUGGUCUUUAUUUGACGGUAAUCAACCAGAAAGUCACGGCUAACUACGUGCCAGCAGCCGCGGUAAUACGUAGGUGGCAAGCGUUGUCCGGAUUUAUUGGGCGUAAAGCGAGCGCAGGCGGAAUGAUAAGUCUGAUGUGAAAGCCCACGGCUCAACCGUGGAACUGCAUCGGAAACUGUCAUUCUUGAGUGCAGAAGAGGAGAGUGGAAUUCCAUGUGUAGCGGUGGAAUGCGUAGAUAUAUGGAAGAACACCAGUGGCGAAGGCGGGUCUCUGGUCUGCAACUGACGCUGAGGCUCGAAAGCAUGGGUAGCGAACAGG
rnacentral:rRNA from 1 species